GACGAACGCUGGCGGCGUGCUUAACACAUGCAAGUCGAACGCUGAAGCUCAGCUUUUGUUGGGUGGAUGAGUGGCGAACGGGUGAGUAACACGUGAGUAACCUGCCUCCUUCUUUGGGAUAACGCCCGGAAACGGGUGCUAAUACUGGAUAUUCACUGGUCUUCGCAUGGGGGUUGGUGGAAAGGGUUUUUCUGGUGGGGGAUGGGCUCGCGGCCUAUCAGCUUGUUGGUGGGGUGAUGGCCUACCAAGGCUUUGACGGGUAGCCGGCCUGAGAGGGUGACCGGUCACAUUGGGACUGAGAUACGGCCCAGACUCCUACGGGAGGCAGCAGUGGGGAAUAUUGCACAAUGGGCGCAAGCAUGAUGCAGCGACGCCGCGUGAGGGAUGGAGGCCUUCGGGUUGUGAACCUCUUUCGCUCAUGGUCAAGCCGCAACAAUGGUUGUGGUGAGGGUAGUGGGUAAAGAAGCGCCGGCUAACUACGUG
rnacentral:rRNA from 1 species